UUUUUUUUCCCACUCCUGCCUUCCCUCUUUGGCACACUCAUUCUCUCUGUGGUGUUAUUUGUCUGUUUGCGGACAGACCGGCUGCAUGGGUCAGGAGGUGGCUGCACGUUAGUCGUCUCCUCUCCAUGGCCUGCCGUCCCUCCAGCUCUGCUUCCUACUCUGUAGUGAUCAUCCCACUCAAGACCAGCCUCCGCAGCCUGGACGCCCUCCGUUUCUACCUAUGGGUUAGGUGAUGUUUGUGCAUUUUUUGCAAACGUUUGUUCUUCUGUGGAUUUUGGGAGAAAGAUUAAAAGGUUAAAGGAUCUCGAAAAGGAGAAGGACGCUCUCUGGUCUGGUCUGGAGAUUUUGGAGAAGGCGCGGCUCUGGUACCUUGACCAGCUCAAACAGAACAGGGCCCGGCAGAAUUUGGAGUGCUGGAAUGGGUCUGGCAUGUCUCAAAGAGGUGAAGAUGAGGCUCGCUCCUGCCUCCUUCGGUGCCGCAUCCAGCGGGCGAACGGACGUCUCGGCUCCGUCAUGACUGAACCCAACGCCAUGAGCAACAGCAACCCCUCCAUACCAGAGGCAGUAGCGGACAGCGACCUCCGGUGGCGGAACACAGUAUUGACCCAGGAAGUGACGGAUAAGAAUCGACAGAUCUCCUUAUCGGAGUUGGAAAAAGAUUCUCUCCUGGAGAAGCUGCAGACCUGCUGAUUGUCCACGCUCACCCGUAUGCGCUGCACUAUAUUUAGUAGUUUGUAAAUAUCUAUUUAUAUCAACUCAGUAAAAGGUGCAUCAUUAAUUUCCUAUAAAUUUUGGGGAUCAUGGAAACCCCCCUCCCCCUCCCCCCAAAAAACACGUAUUAGAGGUAUCCAAAGGGAGGUUUUAAAAUUAUUAUGGGAUGGCCACAGGACCUAAGGCUUCAGAGGCAUUUGAGAUUGUGUAAAAUUUGGCAAUUUUCACCAUUUUUGCGCAAUAUGGGAAAAUAAACUUUUGUUCGAGUGAUCUCUUUUUAAACUUUCACGCACAUGCCGCUAGCUUAAGUCUACAACCACAUCUGAAGUUUUGCUGACCUUUGACCUUGGGAGGAAGCUGUCAUCUUCAGGACUUUCUACAAAUGUAGGCUAUGUCCGAAUUCCCAACCUAACCCCUAUAUAGUGCACUAUAUUGUGCACUAUAUAUUGUGCCUUAGAAAGUGCACUAGAUCUACAAUUUGUCGCCAAAUUGUAGAUUUGGGAAUCUACAAUUCCUUGGAAAUUUCCCAGCACUAUCUGCGAAAAACCAGUGUGCAUCAAUACUCACUAGAUCGGCGAAUAUAGACCAAAAUGCAUUACGUCUGAACAAUUUUUGCCAAAAGAAUGUAUUUAAAUGUAUUUUUUAAAUAAAUCAUCAAUGUUUUUAUCUUCAGAAAGAACAUAACACACGAUAUUGGGAAUGUGGGCGUGGUUAACAAAAAACCUCUGUUGCAGAACACAUCUAGAACUUUACUUUUGCCAAUUCUAAUUAAAAAAAUAUAUAGAUGUAGAUGACCAAAUAAUAAACUGGUUGCUAUGGAGAUAAAACUAACAAGAAAGCCGAUGGGCCAUACAAUGCUGCUUCAAUUUUCUUCUUAUUUUUCCUUCUUUGACUUAUUUUGCUGCACUUUUUCAGUCCAGAUGUUUUCUGAAGUUAUUUUUGCAGGAUUUUUCCAAUGUUGGUUUGAGUUUUAACAAGCAAUUACUAAAAGAAGAAGUGAAGACGUCUGUUUUUGCACAAGUGAGAUGCUGCUGCUACUAGUAAACAAUUCCCAGUUGUGUUGCGCGAAACACCAGUUUUAUUUCUGCCAAGAUCACAGUGUUUUGAUGUCGACCUGCAUCAGUGUUUGUCUGCAGGGGAGAAGAGAACCACAGGGUUCUUCCCUUUCCGCCUGCAUGAGGGCUUUUUGUCCAGACAAGCCGCUGCAGCCUCUCCCGGUGGUCCCUCGCUGAUCUUACAGCGACUGAUAAACGUUAUCUCAGGCAGUCAUUGUGCGUGUUUGCAGGAAUUUUCUCUCCUGCGCCCCAUAAAUGUGCUCACAGAAGAAAGGGCGCUUGAAUAGUUACACAUAGAAAGCGUGUCUUAUUUAGUUGCACAGGGUGUUGUCUGAUCUGAUUGACGUUCUCUCUUCCCCUAUUUGACCAAAGUUUGUAAAUGCAGUAGCUUAAUAAAGUUUUAAAAUGUAUAUCUUUUCUCAUCUGUCAAGGGAAUUCCCUAAAUUCAUGUUUUUUUGCAACAAAAAUCCUUCAAGAAUAUUAAUUUAAUGAAGCAGACUUAGUGUUCGUGAGUGUUUAGAUUUAGUUCAAUGCAAUUUAAACUUAUAAUUUAAAAAACUCUUUUGAUAAACUUUAACGGAAACUGGAAAACUAAUUGAAACUUUGCUUUAAACCCCAUAUGCAGAAGCCACAAAUAUUUUUAGCCCUAUAAAACCAUUUGUAUCAUAUUCGACACGCACAUUUCUGAGACCCCUGCCUCAUUAACAUGAUCCAAACUUUCCUUAAAAACCCAUCCAUUGAAAAUAUCAUAUCUUUUUUGCAUUAUAUGCUGUUCCAUUGGUCUAUUUUUGAACUUAAAUAUGUAAGGCGCACCAAACUAUAUAAUAAAAAUAUAUUAAUUAA